UUACGACAAUACCAGGUUGAAACACCGGUUCUCGUACAAUCAUCGAAGUUAAGCAAUGUCGUACCUGUGCAAUAAUUAGAUGGGUGACCGCUUUGGAAUACGAGGUACUGUAA